rnacentral:lncRNA from 1 species
CUUCCUUUCUCUGUUAGGUUUCUUACCUUUAAGGUUUCGUCCUUCUCGUUGCAUCUAGUUUUCUUUAGUUCAUCAUUGGCUCAAAUUCAAAAUUUUCCAAAUUUUCAUCUUGUUUCGUCAUUGGUAAGGUAAGAUUUAUUAGUUUUUCAGUUUUGGUUUAUGUUUUUAUUUUCAUCUUAAGCUUGGUAAAGAUUUGUUUGAUUUUAUUUUAUUUUGAUUGUGAGCUUAGCAAAAAGAAAAAGGUUUUUUUUGGUAAAGAAAAUGGAUAUGGAAUGGAGGACUAUCAUGAUUUUUUUUGUUAAAGAUACCAAAAAUGGAGGGGACCACUAUUAAGAACUCCAAAAAUGGAGAGUACCAUGGUAAAAAACUCUAAAAAUGAAGGGGACCACCCUUAAGAAAUCCAAAAAUGAAGGGGAUGAGUGGUGAUUUUUGUUAUAGGAAUAAAAAAAAAUAAGAGUACUCCACUUGUCUAUAGUUUCUGGUGAGCUCAAAAUUUUCCUUUCUAAGCUGAUUUGGAAUGCAAGUGUGUCAAGCAAGAUGAGUUUCCCUUUUUUUUUUUUUGGGAUGAGAAAUAGAAUGGAAGAAAAUUCUGAGUAUUGGGAAACUUAUGAGGAGAGGUGAAGUUUAGUUAAUAGGUGUUGCCUUUGCAAUGAGAAAAGUAAAUCCUGUGUUCAUAUCCUCAUCCAUUGCAAAUAAAAGUCUUCUCUUUGUUUGGUUCAUACUUGUUAGCCAAGGCUCAACCACUCCCUAAUUAUACUACCUUGCUUGCUUAAGAUGUGCACCUUAUUAGAGGCACACCUCGUCUACUUUGUUUUCCCCUUUUUAACACUCUAUUCUUAAAAUUUUUUACUAUGUAUUAAAAUUUAUAUAAUUUCAUUAUUUUGUUGCUGAAUGCUUCUUUAAAAUGUUUGGAAUCUUAAAAUUUUUGUUGCUUGGAUUCACGGUUGGCUAAUAUUUUACAAAAUUGAUAUGCAUACUAAGUUGCAUUUCAUUUUGCUUGGGAAUGAUUGUGCUUCAAGUGUGCCUUACUCCUAUUAAUGAGAUUAAUUAAAGUUAAAUAUUUUUAUUAAACCACUCACAUAUUUUUAGUCAAUAUGAAAUCAAAAUAAUAUAAUAUUUUUAUUUAAAAAAAUUAAAGUUAAAUAUUUUAAAUCAAGCAAUAUAGUUUUAUAUAUAAAAUUAGAGUUAAAGUCGUAGUUGAUGACUACGACUUUGACUAUUUUUAAAGUAGUCAAAGUUGUAGUUACCAACUAUGGUUUUAGAAUUAAAGUUAAAGCCAUAGUUGGUGACUACAACUUUGACUACUUUUAAAAAUAAUCAAAGCUGUAGUCACCAACUACGGUUUUAAACUUAAAGUUAAAACCAUGGUUGGUGACUACGGUUUUGAUCGUUUUUAUCAAAUAAAACCGUAAUCACCAACUAAACCGUAGUCACCAACUACAGUUUUAUGAUGUGAUAAUUUACAUGGUACAUAAGAUAUUAUUUUUAGAAUCGGUUUACUUUAUGGAAUUUUUUUUUAAAAAAAGUUGCAUUUUGGUCAAAGCUCCAAAGAUGGAGAGGGGUUGGUUUUAGUGAUGGGCUUUUCCAUGUUGGCCUUAAUGUAUUAACUAAAGGGCCUGUCUUUUUCGUGGGCCUCUAUUUGGCAAACACUAGUUUGCAUUCUGUCACGUCAGAAUGCUAAGCUAUGGAUAAUUACGAAACAUGGGUGCUUACGACGGAUGAUUGUGAUUCUUGGGAUUUUGGAAGUAUUGUGAAGUGGGCAUUGUGGAAAAAUAAGUUACUUAUUUGAUGAUCAUGACUACUGUCAUGGUUCAUAAGUCUUGAAGUUCUUUCAACAAACCCAAUUUUAAGUUGACAACCUCUCCUUCCCCUUCCCCACCCCUUCAUAUCCAAACAAACAAUAGGAUGGGGUGUGUAGCCAUCUCCAUCAUUGAAUAAUUUAUGAUAGGAUUUGUAUCUUUGAAUGAUGGUACAAAUAAAUACGUUAAAAAACAUGCAUGUGUUAUCAUUAAUUAUCGGUAUUUAUUCCAUAUUUAUUGAAGCAAUAUCUUUCGAGUGGGAUACAACUUGGACAAGUUGACUUCAUCCAACCUAAGUCGAACCCGAUAAUUAGACAAUCAAUUUUAGUACUUAGAUUCAUUCAUAUUAUAUUUUUUCGACAUGAAUUCAAUUUGGAUUGUGAUUAGACUUCGAUCAAAAUUUAAAUAACUCGAACUUAACCAAAAUCCGAUUUAAUAUUUGUAUGAUAAUUAUGAUAUAUAUAUCAUCCUAUAUAAUGAUAUUAAUUUUUUUGACAAAAAAAAAAAAUUAUCAAAUUAUAAUUAUAUAAUUUUUUUGGUCAUUUUUCAGUAAAAUAUAUAAAUUUGUUUUUAUUUUUUUUUUAUUAUAUAAAACUUGAUUCCAUUUAUUAUUUAAUUAUUGUAUGUCAAAAUUUUGAAUCAUAUAAUCAGAUUCACUUCAAUUUAAAAAAGCGAGACUAUUAACCAUUAACUUGACUCAUCCCAUAAAGUAGACCCCGGUAUCAAAUAAUCAUACCAAUUUCUUAAUAAUGAAAAAAAAUCCAUAUUUUGUUAAUGAUAUAACGAGAUUCAAAGAUGUGCAUGAGUUGAUCGGUGAUAACUUUUCGAUAUCUACCAUGUAACUUCUGGUAGGAUUACACACUUCUUACAGUGAAAACAAGCAGAAUUUGUUGGCAACUCAUGUGAAUUGGGCACGGCAAAUUCAGGCAAACCCCACUUCGAUGGUAUGUGAAAACACCCUCAAGUCGUUGAAGUACUUGGGCCAACCAAAGCUUGACUCAUUGACUUGUUCUUUUACACAUGAUCUAAUGAGAACCAGCGAAGCAGCCACCAAGCUUCGUUGACUCAGAGAGAGAAGAGAAGCUGCUCACUCUUUAGACCCACGGAAUCCCUGGAUGCAUCCUCGAAAUUGGACUAAUAUUAUCAGGGUUUUAGUUUCUCCAAAAAGUCCAUACGACGUCGUCUCCCACAUAGGGCUUUUGGCCUUUUUGUCCACCUUUGCAGACUGGCUUUUGCUGACCACAGGCUUGACCAGGGGAUGACACGGUUUUAUUGUAUCUAUAAAUUUGGUGUUUCAGAUCGACCUUCUUCCUCCAUCCCUUUCUCCACUACUCUUCUUCUUUUUCAGUGUCUGGUCUGGUAUCAUUUCCAUAACUCAAUGGCCAUGAAGGUCUGUUGUCUCUUUGAUAUAGCUUUUUGUUUUUGGGUUUGCUCUGUUUUCUUUGAGGAAUAAGCUUGCAUGGCUGUGAUGGGUUUUGUCUGCUUGGUUGCUGAGAAACUGACGAAAAGGAAAAGGAAAGGAAAGAAAAGAUGUUGGAACCUUUUUGAAAAGCUUAUUCUUCUACGAUUAGAAGAAUUGAGUUUUCUUGUUGUUUCUUUUCCUAAUUUUUCUCAGAAAUCAAACAGAGCAUUAAGGAAUUUGAAUAAAAUUUAUGGUUUUGCUUGAUUUGAGCUCAUAUUCUCACUUCGGUUGGCUUUAUAAAGAUGAAAAUUUUCUGGGUCUUCUGAUAUUUUUCUUAUUGUUGAUGGGUGUUCCCCUUUUUCUCUGAAUCACAGCAUAUCUCAGGCUGUUCUUUAUUUUGUUGUGACAGAAAACAAUCUUGAAGGUGGAGUUAUUCGAUGACAAAAGCAAGCAGAAGGCCAUGAAGAAUGUCGCUUGCCUUCCAGGUAUUGAAUCUGAAGUUCUUGCAAAAUUCACUCUAAUCCCUGUUUGGUUUAUGUGAAAACUGAGCAAAAUUAAGAGUUUAUUUUCAUCCAAAAGACUAAAAAAAUCACACAAUGAUUUCGUUGGCUUUCUCUUCUUUUUCCUACUCUUUCCCAUCAACCAAAUGGUUUAUUUAACUCACAGAAGAAAACCCAGUUCCUAAAAGCUUAAAAACUACUAAAUCUGAAUUGUUUUGAAUUGCAAUUUUGCAGGAGUUUCUUCAGUUUCCAUGGAUAUGAAGGACAAGAAAUUGACUGUAAUUGGAGAUGUGGAUCCAGUAAGCAUAGUGGGCAGGUUGAGGAAGCUUUGCCACCCAGAGAUAUUAUCAGUUGGCCCAGCAAAAGAGCCAGAGAAGAAGAAGGAGGAACCCAAGAAAAAAGAGGACCCUAAAGAUCAAUGGGCUGAUCUUGUUAAAGCAUACCAAGCUUAUAAUCCUCACUAUACCACACACUAUUUUGUUAGAAGUGCGGAAGAAGACCCGAAUGCUUGUGUCAUUUGUUAAUCACCAGAUCAUAGAAGAAUCCAAAAAGGCAAAAGCAAUAGUAUCUGUGUGUGGGUAAUUAUAGAUAUGGGUCUUCUAUAAUGAUGGUGCACCCAAGAACAGAAGCCUUAUGUACAGUACUGGAUGGUGGGUGUUUGAUUUUCUAUUGUAUGCCAGUUUUCAUUUGGAAUGUAUCAAAUUUUGGGUUGUUUUUUUUUUCCAUGAAUGAAGUAAGAACUUGGAGUUGUUAUGAUAAUUGAAUAUUCUGUCUCCUUGGUGAUGGAAAUUUGAGAUGACGACAUAGUAAAGAAUGUCUCCUUUUGUUUCAAUUAUUUCGUAUCCUUUUAAGCUUUUCGCCAACAAAAAAAAAAAAAAAAAAAAAAAGGAAGAAGAGAAAGGAAACUUGGAUACUUUAUUAUUGAGUGGCUCACUACCAUACAAUUACAAUCCAUUGAUGAGGCUGAAAAGUUUGCUCUUCUUCUAUUCAUUUCAAAUUAUUGUGACCAUUUGUCUCUCAAUUCCACUUUUGUGGGAGUUUCUAAAGAAGAUAUUUACAUAUUUUGUGAUGAUGGAUACAAGAAUUGAUCUUUGUUUUUUUUUGGUAUUAUUGAGAAGUGUCUCAAAUUUUUAAUUAAUAUAAAAAAGUAAUUGAAAAUAUUUUUAUAAAUAUUAUAUGUUAUUAAGAAAAGGUAAUGUGAUAGGCAUAACUUGUGAAGAGUAUGUUCAGGACCAUCUAUCGGUAUAUGCAUGCAUGAAUCACUUUAAAACAUUAUAUACCCUUUUUAUUCUCUUUCAUUUACAGGUAUAUGCAGGAAUCACUUUAAAACAUUAUAUAUAUUUUUUUUAUAUGUGGAUCGUUUUAUUUUUGUGUUCUUGUGUUAACAUGUUUACAUUGAAGCAACACAUAUAUAUGUUAUAAAUGCAGAAGUGAUUUGUGCCAAAUUUUUGGAAUCUAAGUGAUUGGUUUUUAGUGGGUUAUCAAACCAAUGUUGGCUCUUUUAUUCUCUCAUCAUCUACCUCUUUAGUUUUCAGGUUAAACUGAGCUUAAACUUAGAGAAAAUAUCUUAUAAAUAAACAUAUUAUAAAUUUUUAUUAUAUAAUAUAAGAUACAAAUCAUCACGAAAAAAUUAUUGUGGAACUUCAAGUGAUAAAUAAAAUCUUUCAAAUUUUCUAAUUAAUAAUAAUUUUAUAUCAUGUAUUAUAUAAAUUUAUGCAUCUUCUCAUUUUUUUUAAUAAAACUGAAUACAAAUUUUGUUAGUUGACAUUAAUAAUAAAAUAAAAAAUUUAAAAAUUAAGAGUAUAAGUAAAACUAAAAUAUUGAAAAAUUAAAUACAAUUAAAAUGAAAUAUUUAAAAAUUAAAUACAAUUAAAACCGAAAAACUAAUUUUUUUUUUAAAUAUUGGUUCCCAUUGUAUUUUCAACUAUUUCUAGAUAUCUCUAUUUUCUAUUAUUGUGUUUUAGUGAAGUCAAAGUCAACAUUUUAUUUUUAUAUUUUUAGUUUUAAAGUUUUUUUUUAGUUUUAAUUUUUAAAAUUUCUUAUUUUUUUAUUUCAAAUUAAUUUUUAUGAUAAAAAAAAUUGUUAAUUAGUAUUCAGAAAUACUUAUAAAAAAGUGCAUAUAUUUUAAAAUAUUUUUAAAUAAAUGAAGAUAAAUCAUAUUUAUAAAAUUUAGAAUUCUUUUUUCUAUAUUCUUUCAAAUUGACGGGCUAAAACCCAUUUUUCUUUUUAUUAAAAAUUAAUUAAUAUUUCAUUAUAUAAUAUAAAUAAAAAAUGUUUUAUUUUAUUUUUUGGUGUUGGGUAUAUAUAAGGAAAAGAAAAUGGAAACACACACUUAUGAAAAAAAUUCUUCAAAUUUUGUUCUUUUUUAAAUAAACUUGAAAACUUUGCCAAACACUUAAUAAAUCUUGGGUGGUAAUUUUUUAUGAAUAAAAUUUAUUUAUUUUUAAACUUAUCAUAGUUUUUCAACUUCUGCUUAAUGGAUUAGUCUAUAGAAGGCUAAGACAGAAAAUCCAAACAGAUAGCUUUAUUAUUCAUUGAUUUCAAGAUAUGGAAACUAUCUGCCUUUUAAUGGGUCAUUACAUUCCCAUAAAUCAUAAAAUUUAUUUCCUUUUUUUCCUUCAUUUUCUUAGGUUCCCAAUAACCUUUUUUUACUUCUCUUUGUCAAAUCCCUUCAAGUUCAUCUAUUUAUUUUCUUCCUUUUCAAAUUCACAUGUUUAAGCUCUUGCUUUUAAACAUUUGAAUAAAGAAUAAGAACGAGAAAUCUGAGAGUUGCUCCACUCUCGUGUCAAUCACUUUUAUUCCUCUCAUUAGACCAUUCGUAACACUUAUAGUCAUAACUGGAUUAUUUCCCAAUAAUUAUUGUAUCUAUGAGUCACAUUAAUUUAUUGAUCAACAAAAUCUCAAUCCUUAACUACCAAUGCAUUGUAAAUAUUGAGCAUCUUGUCUCGGAAAAAAAAGCUACAUCCUGGACUAAUAAUUUAAGUGAUACACAAUCAAUUUUGUUUUUUUAUUAAAUUAUUUGUUAGAAUAAAAAUAAAAAUAAAAAAUAUUUUUUUAGUCAUUCCUUAUGGUGGUAUUACGGAUUUAUAUAUAAUACAAACACUGUUAAAACAUUCAUCAUGUUUUCAAUUACUUUUUAAAAGGAGAAUUACCCAAAAGGGUGGGCUGGGCAGAACAAUUACUAGAAAGGGUGAUAUCUUUUAAUAAUUCUUGAGGAAUACUUUAAUAGGCUUAAUAUACCAAAACUGCCCUUUAACUAAAACUUUUAAAAUUCAAAGCAUUUAAAGCACUUCACUUGAUUUGUCAAUACAUUUAUGGUACAUGGGUCCCACAUUUAUUGUAAUUAUUGAUAUUUAAAUUUUAAAUCAAAAUUUUGGGUUUAACCCUUACAAUUAUAUAUAAUUUGUUAUUUAAAUUUACUAUUUAAAACAAAAAUACUUUUAAAAACUAUUUUCAAAAUAUCAUUUAUUGUUUUUUUACCUUUUUUUUUAUUUUAUUCUAAUUUUUAAUUUUAUGAAGAAAAAAAAUAAGUUUAUAAUUAUAUAAUAAAAAUGAUGAUUUUUUCACAUAUAUAUAUAUAUAUAUAUAUAUAUAUAUAUAUAUAUAUAUAUAUUAUAAUUUUAAAUUGAUAAAUUAUGUUUUUGUAUUAAAUUUAAGGAAGAUAAAAUAUUUAAUUUUUCAUUCAGAUUCUCUAAAAAGAAUAAGAAAAUGAUAGAUAAUGUUUAAUCAUUUUUUAUUUUUAUAAUAAAAUAAUUUAAAAAAAUUUAUAUGAUUUUUUUUCCUUUGCAUUUUUUAUUUUUUAUUUUAAUUUUCAUAUAAAUUUUUUUUCUCAAUGCAUAUGAUGUUAAUAUAUUUAAUAUGUUGAAUAUUAAUAAGGUAUAAUAGGUGAUCCUCAAGAUUAUUACUUUUAUUAUAAAAUACAGACACAACAAAAAUAUGUUAUAAUUACAAUAUAAAUACACUUACAUUACAAUAAAACCUAAUUAAGAAAUUUAUGAAAAUUUUUAUAAAAAUGGUAAUUUUGCAUGAUCAUACCAUAUUUCACAACAUACCUAUAUUAUAAAUAAUUUCUGAAAUAAAAUGAAAUACUAAUUUGAAUUCACGUAGUUUAUAUAUAUAUAUACAAAAUUAUUAAAUAAUUUCAAAACACUAAAUCAAUAUUGUUAAUAUAUUAAUACGAUGUGUUAAUACCAAUAGGGUAUGAAUAAACAUAUUUAGAAUUAUUACUUUUGUAAGUAAAUAUAAGUAUGACAUAAAUGCAUUAUACUUACAAUACAAAUACACUAUCAUUACAAUAUAUUAUAACAUAAUUUAAUUUAUUUUUACUUAAUUUUUUUCAUGUACUAUUACCCAAUGAAUAAUUGUGAGUUAUUCCAUUUAAUAGGUGUGUGUUUGUCAAUUGAAUAUUUAUAUAUUAUUCAAUUGAUGAGUACUUGUAAAAAAUAAUUAUUCAUUAUAUUAUGAUAACAAAAUUUUUAAUUGUAUGUUUUAUAUAUAAAACGAUAUAAUAACUUUAGGAUAUGGUUUUUAUUUAUGAGAUAUUAAAAAUUAUUUUUUUACAAGGUUCUUUAAAAAAUCUCAAUUUUUUUGAAAAAAAAAACAGCAAAUUUUUAAACAGUCAAUUGUUCAAAAGUGACAACAAUUUGAAAUGUACUGUUGAUUGCCUAUCAACUGUACUUAUCAUCAUGUAUGAGCCUCAUAUCAUUUAUCAACUUGUACUUAUCAUCGUAUAUGAACCUCACAUCAUUAACAAUCUCAAUUUAUUUAUAAAUAAUAUAAAAAACAUAUUUAAGGGUAAAAUUGUCCUUAAAAAAAGUGAGUCUUCAUAGUCAUUAUUUUUUCUAAUCCAUACUUUUGGAUAAUUCUCCUUUUUUUUUUUUAAAUACUAUUUAAAAAAAUCACAAAUUUAUUUUUAAAAUAACCUACUUUUAGAAUAAAUUUUUAAAAUAUUAUUUUCAGUUAAAAUUUUUAUUAUUGAGCAUCUUGUCUCGGAAAAAAACUACAUCUAGGACUGGACUAAUAAUUUAAGCGAUACACAAUUAAUUUUAUUUUUUAUUAAAUUAUUUGUCAAAAUAAAAAAUAUUUUUUUAGUCAUUCCUUAUGAUGGUAUCACAUAUUUAUAUAUAAUACAAACAUUUUUUUAGUCAUGUUUUCAAUUAUUUUUUAAAAUGCCAUUUAAAAAAAUCACAAAUUUAUUUUUAAAAUAACCUACUUUUAGAAUAAAUUUUUAAAAUAUUAUUUUCAGUUAAAAUUUUUACUAUUUUUUUAAAUUAAAAACUAUUUCGAAGAGACCAUUUCAAAAGUACUAUAUAAGAUAUUGUAUUUUAAUUAUUAAAAUAUAUUAUUUAAAUAAAAGCUCUACUAAUUCGGCCCAGACUCAUGGUCCAAAGCGUGGAGGCUUCUGGCAAUAAUUUGCGAUGACUGGUCAAUGCUGAAGGGCAGACUUGACGGAUUCAACGUUGACUGGCGGCCGAGGGUGGCGGCCGAACCGCCACAACCAAAGAUAGAGAGGUAUUGGUUUUAGGGAUGGGCUUUUCCAUGUUGGGCUUAAUGUAUUCGUUUAAAUGUCUUUUUCGUGGGCCCCCAUUUGGUAAACAUUUAUUUGCAAUUCUGUCACGUCAGGAUGUUAAAGUGAUAGAAAAUUACGGAAUGUGGGUGCUAUGAUUGUUAUUCUUCGUAUUUUGGAAGUAUUGUGAAGUGGGGACUGUGGAAAAAUAAGUUUUUUAUUUGAUGAUCACGACUACUGUGUGCGCAUGGUUCGGAAGUCUUGAAAUUCUUUCAACAAACCCACUUGUGACGUUCACAGCCUCUCCUGCUUUCCCCCUUGAUACCCAAACAAACAAUGGAAUGGGUGUGUAGCCAUCUCCAUCAUUGAAUAAUUCCCCCCCUUGAUACCCAAACAAACGAUGGAAUGGGAAUGUACCCAUCUCCAUCAUUGAAUAAUGUACGAUAGAAUUUGGAUCGUUGUAAAACGAUGGUACAAAUAAAUACAUAUUAAAGUCAUAAAAUUCAAAAGCAUGUAUGUAUUACUAUCAGUUAUUAAUAGUCGUUUAAUCUUUAUCGAAACAAUACUUUUCGAUUGGGAUACAACUUGAACGAGGUGGACUCCAUUGAACCUAAGUCAUAAUCAAUAAUUGGACAAAUCGAUUUUGAUUCUUAAAUUGAUUGAUUCAUAGUAUACUUUUUCAACGUGAAUUCAAUUUGGAUCGAGAUUGGACUUGGGUUAAAAUUUAAAUAACUCGAACUUAAUCAAAACUCGAUUUAACAUUUGUAUCAUAUUUAUGAUGUGUAUUAUCCUAUAUAAUGAUAUUAAUUUUUUUUUUUGGAUUUAAAAUACAUUAUCAAAUUAUAAUUAUAUCAUUUUUUUUAGAAAGAUAUACAAAUUGGUUUUAUUUAUUUUUUAUUAUAUUAAACUUGAUUUCAUUUAUUGUUUCAUUUUUGCAUGCCAAAAUUUUGAAUUACUUCAAUUUUAAAAAAAAACAAGAUUAUGUUUGAACUUGAGUUAACUAUUAACUUGACUCAUCCCAUCAGGUAAAACCCGAGUAUCAUAUAAUCAUACUUAUUUUUUAAUAAUAAAAAACAUACUUAUUUUUUAAUAAUAAAAAACAACCUAUAUUUUAGGAAGGAUAUAAAUAAAUGAGAUUCGAAUAUAAAGUAACGGACCUAAAGAUUUGGUGACAUGAUUUGAUUUUGGUGAUAACUUUUCAAUUUAUAAUUUCUACCGUGCAACUCCCGUGGGAUUACACACUUUUUACAAUGAAAACGACCAGAAUUUGUUGGUAACCCAUGUGAAUUAGGCACGGCAAAUUCAGGAAAAAAAAAAUGCAAGCCCCACUUCUAUAGCGUGUGAAAACACCCUCAAGUGAUUGAGGUACUUGGGCCAGCCAAAACCCCAACUUUGACUCAUAAACGUUCUUCCACACAUGAUCUAAUGAGAACCAGCGAAGCAGCGACCAAGCUUCAUUGACUCAGGAGAGAGGAGCGAAGCUUCCCACUCUUCACACCCACGGAAUCUCUCGAAGCAUCGCGGAAAUUGAACUAAAUCUUAUCAGGGUAUUAGUUUCUCCUAAAUGUUCAAACGACGUCGUCUCCCACGUAGGGUUUUUUGCCAUUUUGUCCAUCUUUGCGUCUGGCUUUUGCUGACCAUAUACUUGACCCGGGGUUGACACGGUUUUUAUUGUAUCUAUAAAUAUUGGUGUUCCGGGGACUCACUCCACCACCAAUUUCACAACUUCUUACACAUCAACUUCCCUUUCUCCACUACCCUUCUUUUUCAGUCUCUGGUCUGGUAUAAUUUCCAUAAUUCAAUGGAGAUAAAGGUCUGUUGUCUCUCUGAUAUAGCUUUUUGUUUUUGAGUUUGUUCUGUUUUCCUUGAGGAAUAAGCUUGCAUGGCUGUGAUGGGUUGUGAUGGGUUUUGGCUGUUUGGUUGCUGAGAAACUGAGGAAAAGGAAAGGAAAGAAAAUAUUUAGGGGCCUUGUUGAAAAGCUUAACUCUUCUGUUCUACAAUCAGAAGAAUUGAGUUUUCUUGUUGUUUCUUUUCCUAAUUUUUCUCAGAAAUCAAACGGAGCAUUAAGGAAUUUGAAUAAGUUCUAUGGGUUUUGCUUUGCUUGAGCUCCUAUUCUCACUUUAGUAGGUUUUGUAAAGAUGAAAGUUUUCUAGGUCUUUUGAAUUUUUUUUUUUAUUGUUGAUGGUUGUUCCCCUUUUUCUUUUUCUCUGAAUCACAGCGUAUCUCAAGCUGUUCUUUAUUUUGUUGUGACAGAAAAUAAUCUUGAAGUUGGAGGUAUUCGAUGACAAAGCCAAGCAGAAGGCCAUGAAGAAUGUCUCUUCCCUUCCAGGUAUUGAAUCUGAAGUUAUUGCAAAAUUUACUCUAAUCCCUGUUUGGACCUUUGGUUUAUGUGAAAACUGAGCAAAUUUAAGAGUUUGUUUUCAUCCCAAAGACUAAAAAAUUCACGCAAUGUUUUGUUUGGCUUUCUCUUCUUUUUCUUACCCUUUCCCAUCAACCAAAUGGUUUAUUGAACUCACAGAAGAAAACCCAGUUCCUAAAAGCUUAAAAACUGCUCCAAUCUGAAUGGUUUUAAAUUGCAAUUUUGCAGGAGUUACUUCAAUCUCCGUGGAUAUGAAGGACAAGAAAUUGACUGUAAUCGGAGAUGUGGAUCCAGUAUGCAUAGUGAGCAAGUUGAGGAAGUUUUGCCGCACAGAGAUAUUAUCAGUUGGACCAGCAAAAGAGCCAGAGAAGAAGAAGGAGGAGCCUAAGAAAGAGGAGCCCAAGAAAGAAGAGAAGAAGGACGCUAAAGAACAAUUGGCUGAUCUUGUUAAAGCACACCAAGCCUUUUACCCUCAAUAUGCCCCACACUACUAUGUUAGAAGUGUGGAAGAAGACCCAAAUGCUUGUGUCAUUUGUUAAUCACCAGAUCAUAGAAGAACCCAAAAAGGCAAAAGCAAUGGUAUCGGUAUCUGUCUAUGGGUGAUUAUAGAUAUGGGCCUUCUAUAAU